CCCCGUGUGUAUCUUCCCUUUCUCCUUCAGAAAUAAACUCUUUCGCAAAUGCACCAAGGAAGGCUAUAUUUUGAAUCGGAGUUGGUGUUCUUUGACAAACGAUUAUGACAAAGAUAGAAAAUGGAAGCAAUGCUCUCCUCACGAUCUUUAGAUAUGUCUUGGUGUUCAUGAAGGGACAGGAGUUAUAGGAUUCACCAGCUGCCUCUCAAAAUAUAUCCUUCACCUGAUCCUUCUGACCAAUAAAGAUUUGAGCUCUCUUC